rnacentral:rRNA from 1 species
CCUACGGGAGGCUGCAGUGGGGAAUAUUGCACAAUGGGGGAAACCCUGAUGCAGCGACGCCGCGUGAGUGAAGAAGUAAUUCGUUAUGUAAAGCUCUAUCAGUAGGGAAGAAAAUGACGGUACCUGAGUAAGAAGCUCCGGCUAACUACGUACCAGCAGCCGCGGUAAUAUGUAGGGGGCAAGCGUUAUCCGGAUUAUCUGGGGGUAAAGGGGGCGUAGACGGCAGUGCAAGUCUGGAGUGAAAGGCGGGGGCUCAACCCCCGGACUGCUCUGGAAACUGUACGGCUGGAGUGCAGGAAAGGUAAGUGGAAUUCCUGGUGUAGCGGUGAAAUGCGUAGAUAUCAGGAGGAACACCGGUGGCGAAGGCGGCCUGCUGGACUGCGACUGACGUUGAGGCCCGAAAGCGUGGGGAGCAAACAGGAUUAGAUACCCGAGUAGUC